rnacentral:lncRNA from 1 species
CACUUUUUAAGUUUUGACUAUCCAUCAGGGCCUAAAGAUCCGACAAAGAUAAGGGGAUUGAAAGACUUAGAGAAUGGGACAAAAAAAAGGGGGCUUAGACAUUCGGCCAUAAAUACAGAGAGUGGAGGUAAGGUUAAAAAAUAUUUGGGGGGGAACACCAGAAGUGAGAAUUUUAGAGUUGAAUAGGCUGAAUUUUUAACACCUAAAAGUUCAGUAAUUGGAGAAAGUUAAAAGAGAGGGUUGAGAGAUAAAAACUGAAAAGUGAAGUCUUUCUUCCACUGUUAAAAAUCAGUGCUAGUUUGCUACUGUAUCAUUGAAGCUUCAAGCUUCUUUUCUUUGAGUGUUUGAAAACCAGAAAACUACCGCCUAUGUCUGGUCCUUUCUGUUGCUGCCUGUGAUUGCAUUUGGUAUUGUUGGGGUCUCAAGUGGGUUUUUCCUGGGUUACUACUUGGGUAUUUGCUACUACUUCACUGGUUAUUGCUGGAUUUUUUGCUUGAUUUUAAAUUCUGUCAAUGAUUUCUCGUUGUUGGUUGUUGCUGUUGUUGUAUGCUACUGCAUUUCUGCUGAUCUUCCUCUUAUUUUACUUCCAAUAUCAGGUACACAACUGAUACGCUGGUUACUGUAAACUGAAACAUGAAGCAUGAAUACAAAUAAAGAGUUGAAGUUUUAAUUUGAUUUAGUUUUGUUACUGAUUGUACUUAGGACACUCUAUACACUAUUGUUUUGUAAAAAAAAUUUUGCCAUUUCUGUAUAACUG